GAUGAAGAACGCAGCGAAAUGCGAUAAGUAAUGUGAAUUGCAGAAUUCAGUGAAUCAUCGAAUCUUUGAACGCACCUUGCACCCUUUGGCUAUUCCGAAGGGUAUGCCUGUUUGAGUAUCAUGAACACCUCAACCCUCAUGGUUUGCCAUGAUGAGCUUGGACUUUGGGGGUCUUGCUGGCCUGUGGUCAGCUCCUCUCAAAUGGAUUAGCUUGCCAGUGUUUGGUGGCAUCACAGGUGUGAUAACCAUCUACGCUUGUGGUUUUCCACCAGGUAACCUUCAGCAAUGGGGGUUCGCUGGGGCUCAUAAAUGUCUCUCCUCAGCGAGGACAGCUCUUUGAACGUUUGAUCUCAAAUCAGGUAGGACUACCCGCUGAACUUAAGCAUAUCAAUAAGCGGAGGA
rnacentral:misc_RNA from 1 species